rnacentral:rRNA from 1 species
AUACGGGGGGAGCAAGCGUUGUCCGGAAUCAUUGGGCGUAAAGGGCACGUAGGCGGUUUCUUAAGUCGAAUGUGAAAUCUCACGGCUCAACCGUGAAACUGCGUUCGAAACUAAGUGACUUGAGUUUGGGAGAGGUGUACGGAAUUCCUGGUGUAGCGGUGGAAUGCGUAGAUAUCAGGAAGAACACCAAUGGCGAAGGCAGUACACUGGCCUGAAACUGACGCUGAGGUGCGAAAGCGUGGGGAGCAAACAGGAUUAGAAACCCCUGUAGUCC